rnacentral:lncRNA from 1 species
UAAUACACAAAAAACCUAGGGACUAAUGAGUGAAAAACACAAAAUAUAACCCUAGACUCUCCACCUAUAAAAGCUAAUACUAUGAGCCGCAAUAGAAAAAAAAGGCCCUCCGCCGGUCGAUCUUCAUCCUCCUCAGAGUGAAGUAGCCAUUUUUCAUGGCUUCCUCUUAAGAUAGAACACAUUCCCUGCUUCUUCACCUCCCCUCCAUUCGAACAACCACGCAGGAACGACCCCCUUAUCUAAGCUUCAUCUUCUUUGGCAACAAGAGCCAAAAACACGACCCCUUCCUGGGUCUUCUUCUUCUUCAUUCACUAUCACUCACAGCCCCCCAGAACCCACCUCCAAAGCACCCCAAUUUUAGUGACAAAACAACUCUCAAAACAACCUGACGUAGCUGCUAAAAAGUACUACUCAACUCUACCCAUAUUACCAGCAAGAACAGUCCAAAAAUGAGUUCAAAUCCACCCCUAAACGACCUCAAUACAGCUCUGAUACGAACUGGAAAUCCAGGCUAAAAACAGCUGUAAAUUCCGCCAUGAAACGCCCCUAAACUCCAGCAAAACAAGCUGUGAAAAUAGCUAGGAAAAACAGUUGAAAACUAGCUGCAAAACAACAAAAAAAUGCUGCUAAGAACGGACCCGAAGCAGCUCCAAAAACGGUCGAUAUUAAGUGAAGUUUCUGUUUAAACUUCUGCGAGGUUUUCCGGAAAGGUUUCGAGUUUCGGUCAGUGGUCAAAUUUCUGUGUUCGUUCGAUUCCCGAAGUACAGAUGUAAUAUUUAAAGCAACAUUUCUCAAGAAUGAAAGGUUCAUUUUCUCAUUCACAUCUUUUAUUAGUUAUGUGUGAUUAGUUCUGGUUUUUAGAGUGAUAUUAGUUCCCUAUCCUAUUAUAUUUAUUUGUUUAGUUAUAUGAUACACUACAGUUUUGUGAGGUAUGAAAGCUUGGAUCAGUUUUUUUUUUCUUCCAAAAUUAGGUUUUUGUUUUGAAUGGCUAACACCCUUAAAUAGUGUUAUUAAAAGUCAGAGGCAAUAUGAUGCAAAGCAAGAGAGGUAGGAAAUAUCAACAUAUUGGACGCUAAAAUUAGUAUUUUUAUUGCGAUUUGGUUUUUUGUAGCAUUAUAUUAAUAUAUGUUUGAUAAUUUUUUAAUCUGUCAUUGUGAGAUCGAUCAUUUAAUAAUUAUCUUUAGAAGCACACAUGAAUUCGUGAGUGGUGUUUAAUUUGAUUAAUCUUUAGUCAUUUGCUACAGUGUUAAAGUAGUACCCAUGACAAAUUAGUUAAUUGCUUUAGAAGUAAAAUUUCAACAGUUGUCUUUUUAAGGGGUUCAUUUCCUAAUAGGUUGUGAUUUACCUAGUUUCCAUUUGGAAUUAAAUUGCUUUCUACGUGGGCAUUGAAAUUGAUACAAUAGCUAAUUUGUGAUUUGAAACUAGCUUAUGAAAAAUAAUCCAUGAACAUUGAUAGCUUGUUUUAGGAGUGAUCUAGUCUAUUAUCGUAAUUAUGUAUACGUUCGCAUAACAUAAUUAUGAGUUUUCUAAUAAUAACUCAAGGGAUGCAUUCGUGCAACUUCAACCAAACUUUUUUUUAAAAAAACAAAUAAAGCGUUAUUAAUUUUGAACACGUUCGCGUGACAUAAUUUUCGACGCGCCGAAGGAAAAGAGUAUAAGUAAGCGUAACUCAACUCUUUAACUACGAACAAAUCAAGUAAUUAAAAGCGGUAAAAGAUAAAUGCUCAUAGGUUCUAAAAUGAGUAAUUAAAUAAUUUCAUAAGCCAAGUAUGAUCAAAGCGACCAUGCUAAAGCCACAGAACUCGGGAGUGCCUAAUACCUUCUCCCUGGUUAACAAAAUUCCUUACCCGAAUUUCUGUGUUCGGAGACUGUAAAAUGGAGUCAACCUUUUCCUCAUACCAUUAAUUAUCCCAAGUGGAGAUUCUGAAUUUUUUUAAAAUAAUCUGUUUUGAUUGUCACUUAAAUUGAAAAAAACUCUCUUCUACGUCUUUCGCGGAAUGUAGUGUAAAAAGGAAGUGUGACGGCUCUGGCGACUGCUGGGGAUGGGAACCCAGAAUCUCUAAUUUAGGGUUCAAGAAUUCGAGCUUGUUAAUAUGAUUUUUAUUUGGCUUUAUUUAUUAUUGAUAUUACUGUAUUUUGUGAAUCUUUUUAUGUUAAAGGCUAUCUGUUUACCGCUUUAAUAUUGUUUGAAUUGUAUAUAGCUGUCUUCUUAUGCCACCCAUCUGAGUCUUCUGAAAAUGGUGCACACAUUCACGUGGUCCGCUUUUUUGUAGAAAUUAUACCAAAUAGAACGAGGCUGGGCAAGCGACAAGCUCGGGAAAACUUUAGUGCUCCCCGUACGUUACCCCUUCUUCGUCCCCAGUUGUCCGCUCGGCUACCCAAGUCUAAACAAAAACCUUAGGAUUUAAAACCUAGAAGAACAAAACCUCAUGCCGGGUCCCUAGUAGGAGCGCUUGUUUGCAUCAUGUGCAUUUGACUCAGGGGACUCAACACAGGGGUUGGGUCCGUCUAGGACAGAUGUACCCAAAAUAACAGAUCAUCCUGAUGCAACCUAUGUGCUACAUGUUGCAUUUCUUCAAGGUCAAAAAAGUCAUUUGACGGACCAAUGAAAGUUUAGGGCAAAUGAAAAGAAACAAAAAGGAGAGAGUGACGUGUAAAAAAUAAAGCAAGAAGGACUCGAUUAUGUUUUCUGUCACAUUUUUGCAAAAGAAAUAAAAAAAGAAAAAGAAAAUUCAAAAAAAAUUUGCACUUUCCCAUCAUUUCCCAAUAAAUCAAAAAAAGAGCAAAAAGAAAAUUCAAAUGGAGUUUACAUGUUUCAUCAGUUUUCAAAAGAAAAGACAAAAAAAAAUAUUUUUUAAAAAUUAUUUGUCUUUUUUAAUUCUCACCCAUAUCCAAUCUGCCCGAAUUACGUAUACCUAGUUCUCGUCUUCCCUGGCGUGAUACAUAGGCAACCCACAUAUGGUCCGAUCUUCCUAGUAAAUCUUAGGUUGUUGGCUUUGCGAGGUCUUAGCCAAAUUUUGCACCUCUAGGUACCUUUUAGCCAAAUAAGCCAUUUAGCAAACAGAAUGGCAACCAUGUCUUGCAUGGGUCUAAUAGGGAAUGUUAUUGUCUCACAAAUUGUUGGUUUAAGUUUUCUCAUACAUCGGAAUUUGAGCAUGACAAAUACACUGCCUUCAGAAAUUGGUCAAGGAGAUUUUUAUUAUUUUUUUAUGUCGUCUUUUACUUUCUAGUUUUGUAUAGUAAUGUCGAGUUUUUAUUACCAUUUUAUUUUCUAUUUUGCAUCUGAAAAAUUGUGUUAUAUAUCAAAAAUCCAAUUAAAAAGAUGUUGCAUUUUAUAUUUUCGUUGGAAGUUUUCUUUGAAAUAUUAAUUCUAGGCAUUAAAAAAAUUCAUUUGAGGCGAUUUUUCCUUUAGUUGAAUAUCUAGAACUUAAAAUAAAAUUACUUUUAGUGCAUUAAGAGCAAAAAAGAAAAAACAAUUCAAGAAAAAGAGAAGAGAAUUUUCUUUUAGGACCUCUUUAAGAGUUUUCUUUAAAGAUAUUACUUCCAAAAAUCCAUUAAAAAAAUUCUUUUGAGAUUAUUCUUUUUGAAAUUAAUGAAAAAAUAUAAAAAAAUCUUUUAUUUUACUAAAAUUGUAGGACACUGUACAUAAAAAGAAACAUAUACUUUCUCUUUUGUUUAUUAUUAGAAUUUCUCAUUUAGGUAAUCAAAAUUGAAAGCUAAAAAUAUUUUGUUUUUUUAUUUAUUUCUUGUUUGGAAAACUCGCAUCAGGAUAUCAAAUGAAAUUCAAAUACUUUUAUGUGGCUUAUUCUUUAGAUUUUCUUCCUAAAAGAAGAUUCAAAAAAAUAUUUUUCUCUUAUAGGGUUUUUCCUUAAUAAUUUCUCAUAGAGUGUUUGUUUGAAAAGAAAAAAAAUAGCAAAAAAAAAAUAUAUGCUCGUUAAGCUUGAGUUUGGAAUAGGUUAUAAAAGAUUACAUCUGAAAAAAUUUUAAAAAAAAGGGAGAUUUCUUCUUUUAUUUCUCUUUUCUCAUCAGAGUAGUCAUUAAGGUAAUAAAGAAAAAGAAAAAUGAUAAUGUUAGUUUAUUCACUUUAUUCAUGAUCUUUCAGAACUACGCAAAUAUCUGAUUCAUGCGGGAUCAUGAUACGUAGGCAACCUAUAUAGGGUUUGAUCGAAUCAUUUUUAUUAUUAUUAAAAGAAAAAGAAAGAGAAGAAAAAAAAAGAAAAGAAGGUAAAAUUAUGGGAUGUGAGAAAUGGGAAGGAAGAAAAGAUCGAUAAUCAGAAAAAAAAAAAAGGAAAAUGAGCGAGUUAAGAAGUGCAAGGAAGGAAAAGAAAAGAGAAGACUCAAGUGAACAAAUCGGAAUGAUGCCAUAUGACCUUCAUACCCUCGAAGUCAUGUUAGAACCGAUAACUGUGACUAGGUGCAUUGCACGCAAUAUGAUAUUUUAGUUGUUAAAUGCCCUAACGCUAACGUGAUAACCUUAUUUUGUUCCUUUUGUUAUAAAGCAGAAGGGUGGUUGGUUUGUGAUUUUUAAAGUGGUAAAUCUUCUCUACAACACAAAGUCAAAAGGUAAUGGAAAAAAAGAACAGAAUUGAGUUGGUUGAUACCGGCGCAUACAAGUAGUUGGUUGGAUAGGGAAAUGGGUUGGUUGAAUAGAUAAAGAUGUUAAGACAACACAUGGCGGACAUGUAUCAGGCCUGGAUGGCUGGGAAGGAACCACCCCCGCUACCACCUAGCUUCUUAGAUGCUGCCCUUACCCAAACUCCGGUCAUAGUGCCGGAUGAUACCCCAUAUUCUCCAGAUCCAAUCGUUUAUCACAGCUUUCCCAACCGUCCUAGUAGCUCCAUCACCCAUCCUCCAAUUACAUCUUUCCAAAAUUGCCCUCCUAUAAUAUCUACUAUUGCCGGCAAUGAAUAUCCACUCAACGCUCAUGGUGCCCAAUACUAUGCCGCAGAGGUUGCCCACAAGGCUCUUAACUCAUACAAGAAGAGCCCUCGCGAUGAGCUUCAUGCUAAACAUGAAAAAGUCACAGGAAAAGAAGGGCGAGAUGAGAUAUCCAGGAAGCUGAAAGGCAUAAAAUAGUCCCCAAAGAACAAGCAAUGAAUGGGAGGCCAGAGUAACAUGUCUUACAAGGAAUUGUCAGUGUCCCCUGAGUUCGCCUGCCCGGGGGUUUUAAUGUGCCAAAAUUUAACUUGUAUGAUGGGUGUGGAGAUCUGGUAGCCUACGUGAGUGUUUAUUGCAGUGAAAUGAGAACUGUUGUAGUAAGAGCUUGACUGAGGCAGCUUUGGAACGGCAUAAUCGUCAAGAUGUCGGUAAGUGGCCUACAUUGGGCGACAUGGCUCAAGAUUUUGUGUGACACUUUCAGUACAACAUAGACAUUGUCCCAGACCGCUCCUCCCUAUCUCAGAUAAAAAAGAAACCCAAGGAAAGUUUUAGGGACUUUUGGCUCAGAUUGAACGAACAAGUUUCUCGGGACUGUCCUCCCAUUGAUAGAAAAGAUGUUGCUGAGCUCCGCCAAUGACAGGAUCCAGUGGGCAUUCUUGCUAAACACGUUCAGCCUCAAUAUUGACCCCCGCAAAUGUCCAUGCCAUCCUCCCCACUACUACUUCUCUCCGCAGAACCCCAAUAUCGUACAUCACUUUCCCGACACCCCAUCCCCAAUGCACCACCAUAUGCUCCACAUCCACGAGGCCCGCAAUGGCCUGCACCACGUCCACAAAUGUCUUAUCCUCCCCCAUGAGCCUACUGAAACUCUUCUGGAUCAGGUUUUUGGCCCAAUCAAGCAUUCAAGAAUGAGAGUUUGCAGAGAAAGAAAACAUUCGCUCCAUUGGGAGAGUCAUAUGUCAGUCUGUUCCAGAGCCUAAGGAAAUUGGACAUGUUGAAUCCGAUUUAGAUAAAAAUGUGAAACCCUCUUCCGAAGAAGUUUUUUUUCUUAAAGGUGCGCAUAUUGCUCAGAUGCCCUGGGGCAUGACAUAGAGAAGUGUUGGCAUCUGAAGGGAGCAAUCCAGAAGCUUAUGUAGGUGACAUUACCGUGCAAAAUCCAAAUGCAGCAGAUACUAGCCAAAGUCCAUUGCCUGUUCACAAUGAUAUGCAUAUGGAGGACAUGAUUUGUGUGGAAGAGGAACAUAAGAACUAUUCUGAGAUCCUCAGAGGUCCACAUGCUACGAAGCUUUCAGCGCUAUCAGAGGUUGAUCCUAAGAACGAGCAGGCAAAGGGAACCCAAAAGCAAUUUGUUAAGAACAAUCUCAUGGAGACUUGUGAAGGUCUUCGUAUUGUUGAUGCAGAAGUCAGUGGAUAAGAUGUUGAGUUUGAUGAUUGGAAAGACGCUCUUUUCUUGGUUAGCCAUAGAGGAGUUUUUGGUGGUUUUUUUUGUUAUCAUUUUUAUUAUUUGGGCUAUUUCAGGGUUGUAAUCCAGAAAUUAUCUUGUGACUCAAACCCUUCUAUUCUUUUAUUUUACCUAGUCUGUUUAGUCAUAAUAGCCCAUUUAGUGUUGUCUAAGUUUGUUCUAGGUUUGUAACCCCAGUUUAGUUUGUUUGUUUUGUUGUCCAAACCCUUUCACCAUCUAUCUAAUGCAAUUUUCUAUUUUUUUGUAAUUUCUAGUCAUUUUCGUUUAGUUCUCUUUUCUUUUUAUAGUUCUUUUCCUCUUGACUAGUGACAUGACAUGCACACGUAAUUCUCAGCCUAGUUUUAAAAGUUAGUUCAGUCACGAAGCAAUGAAAUAAUGUAGAAUAUGUACUUUAAUUUCUAUUCAUUUUCGUUUAGUUCUCUUUUCUUUUAUAGUUCUUUUCUUGUUGACUCUAGUGAUAUGACAUGCGCGUUUCUCAGCCUUGUUUUAAGAGUCAGUUUAGUCAUGAAGCAAUGAAACAAUUUUGAAGAUGCAAGGAUAUUUAAGGGAAAUAAGUGAAGGCAUUUUGAGAUCACUUCAAGCCCGAAUUGUGUGAAACUGGGGCAGAUAGAACAUAAAGAAAUACUAUUGAAAUGCAUCAUGCCGCAUCAGGUUGAAGCAAUUUUUCCCAAAUUGGCAGGGGCUGUUCGUGGUAAUGAGCGUGAGAGUGUUGUCCAAUGGUGCUUUAAAAUUGACAAAUUUAGAAGGCAGAUGUAUGGAUAUGGUUAUCAAGUGUGGUACAAUCAAAAGAUGUUACGAAUGUUUUCCUUGGUUGGUUUAAUUGUGUUGCUUGUACUUGGCAUGUUUUGAAGAUUUGAAUGACGAAAGCAUUUUGUUAUGCUAUCUAAACACUUUAUCCUUCGUUGCCCCUUUAAGCCUUAUUUAUUUUCUUUCGUACCCCUCUUUUGGAAUCAAUAGCAAAGACCAGAAACGCAAGUGCAAAAGAUAAGCAAAGGAAAAGAGAAAAGAAAAAGAAUGAAAAGAGAGAGAAGAAAAAGGAAGAAGAAAAGGGGAAAAAAAGAAGAAAAAGAGAAUAAAAGAAAAAUAAAAAAACAACAAAAUAACAAAAGGAGAAAAGGAAGAAAGAAAAGAAAAGCAGAGAAAAGAGGAAGAAAAAGAAAAGAAAAAUCACAACAACAACAACAACAAAGUGCACUGUAUGGCGACAGGAGCUGAGAGAAAUAAAAAAUGAGAGAGUCUUAUUGGUGAAAACCCUUACGGGCACCAUGAGACGAUGGUGAGUUGAGGAAAAAAACAAAAUGAGAGAGGCUUGAUAAUGAAAAACCCUUCUGGCACCACAAGUCGAAUAAGGAUUUUGAAUUAGAUUGGAUAAUCGGAGCAUUGAAGCCUAGUUUCAUGGUUUAGGGGGUAUAAUAAGAGUUGAACAUCAUACUUGCUUGACAGGAUAGGCCACAUGUGCAUGUCAUGGCCAUUAGAGUUGGUAUCCAAAUCUGAUUGGUUUUUUACUUUGUAAUUUUCUUGUUAGGAAUCUUCUCUUUCCUUUGUCCUUUACUCUAUUCCUUUUGUCUUGUUUGCUUUCUCUCCCUGAGUUUGUUUGGUCGGAACAAGGUAGAAAUGACUUCAAAAUUUUCCAUCAGCUUUCCAAUUGCAAAAAACAAGAUCUGGCUAGUAUAUCCAAGUAUCAUAAGUCAGGAAAGAACAACAAGCGCACUGAGUUGGUAAUAAUCAACAUGCUUUGGGAUCCAUGUGAAAUACAAAGGUUUGGUACAUAUCAAUUAAUGAGCAAUGCAACAGAUGGAAGGUGUCCGGUGAAUGCAUCAAAGGUAUUUUCGGUGAAUACAAAGGUUCGGUAAAUGUCAGGUCAUGAGCAAUGCAACAGAUGGAGGGUUAGGGUGAAAGAACCAAAGGUAUCAAUUCAUGAGCAAUGCAACAGAUGGAGGGUGUCAGGUGACAGAUCAAAGGUAUUUUCGAUGAAAUACAAAGGUUUGGUUAAUGUCAGGUCAUGAGCAAUGCAGCAGAUAGGGGUAUUGGGUCCGAAUGGAGAAGAGGUAUCCUAUGUGAUAAUAAUGACAGAAAAAGUGGUUAGUCAAAAAGUAGCAACGUCUUCGAGUGGAAAUCAAAGCGAUCAUGAGAAGUGAAGGAGCAGUCACCCUCAAAGUCAAGGCCACAAACCAACCACCAUAGUUUCAAACUACCAAAUUUUUUUUUUCUUUGGUUGAAACAGGGGCAGGAAGUUCUGGUUGUUUUGAAGAAACCCUCCAUAGGGGGAAAGCAAGCACCAGACAGUUAUGACCGUAAAAUUUCAGGACCCUCCUAAAAAAUGGGACCUAGUUUAAAAUUCAAAACAAUCAUGAGUAGCAUCAGCAAGCAUAAAUGUACCCCCAAAGACAUAUAAGUUGGUUUCGAGGUUUUCAUUCUUGAGAUAGGAUUUAAUUAGAAGUUUUCAGGACCUUACUGGAAAAUGGGACCUACUUUUAAAAAAUGAGUAGCAAAACUUAGCAUAAAUAUAUCCCAAAGGAAUAUAAGUCGGUUUCAAAGUUUGCAUGUUUAAGAUAGGAUUCAAUUAGGGGUUUUCAGGACCCUCCUGAAUAAUAGAACUUAGCUUUAAGAUUUCUAUUAGAUAACAAGAUGUAGCGUAAGUUCUGUUGUAGGGUAGUAUAAUUCUGUUGUAAAAUUGUCAUUCUUAGGAUAAGACUUGAUUUUCAGGACCCUCCUGAAAAAUGGGACCUAUUUUAAUAUUUAAAACAAUCAUGAGUAGCAUCAGCUAGAAUAAAUGUACCCCCAAAGGUAUAUAAGUUGGUUUCGAGGUUUUCAUUCUUGAGAUAGGAUUUAAUUCGAAGUUUUCAGGACCUCCUGGAAAAUGGGACCUACUUUUAAAAAAUGAGUAGCAAAAUUUAGCAUAAAUGUACCCUAAAGGAAUAUAAGUCGGUGUCAAAGUUUGCAUGUUUAAGAUAGGAUUCAAUCAGGAGUUUGCAGGACCCUUCUGAAUAAUUAGACUUAGCUUUAAGACUUCUAUUAGAUAACACGAUAUAGCAUAAGUUCUGUUGUAGGGUAGUAUAAUUCAGUCGUAAAAUUGUCACUCUUAGGAUAAAACUUGAUUUUCAGGACCCUCCUAGAAAAUGAGACCUAGUUUUAGAAAUGAGUAGCAAAAUCUUGCAUAAAUAUACCCCAAAGAAAUAUAAGCCGAUUUCAAAGUUUGGAUGUUUAAGAUAGGAUUCAAUUAGGAGUUUUCAGGACCCUCCUAAAUAAUGGGAUCUAGCUUUAAUAUUUUCAUUAGAUAACAAUAUUGUGCGUAAGUUCUAUUGUGGGGUAGUAUAAUUCAGCCAUAAAGAAUUGUCACUCUUAGGAUGAAAUUUGACUUUGGAUUUUCAGGACCCUCCUGGAUAAUGGGAUGUAGCUUUCAUAUUUUCUAAGAUAACAAGAUAUAGCGAAAGUCACACCUUUAGAAAAUAUAAAUUAGAUUUUAAAUUGUCAUUUAAUUAAAAAUUAUCAGGACCUCCUGGAUAAUAGGAUUUAGCUUUCAAAUUCUUAGAGAUAUUUGGUAAACAUGAUUUAAUUAAAACUCACAGAUGCACCAGCACCAAACUGGGGCAGGAAAAUUACUUUUGUUUUGUUUGGUUUUGUUUCAAUCGAAAUCAAGGGAAAGCAAUGGAAAAGGAAUAUAGUUUUUAGCAGUCAGGAUCCCACCUGGAAAAUAUAGGAAUACAAGUCGAAUUUGGAAAUCAGGAGCCCACCUGGAGAACAAGGGAACAUAGUUCAAGUUUUGGUAACCAGACGCCCACCUGGAGAACAAGGGAAGACAAUUUAAAUUUCAAGGAAAAGUAGUUCAAAUUCAACCAUCAUCCCCCCCUAAAGAACAAGGGGAAGCAAUUCAAUGUUCAAGUAAACACAGUUCAAGUUCAGCAAUCAGGCGCUCACCUGGAGAACAAGGAAAUACAGUAUAAGUUUCAAGGAAUAUAUUUCAAGUCUAGUAAUCAGGCAUCCACUUGGAGAACGAGGGAAUAUAAUUCAAGUUUUGGAAAUCAGGCGCCCACAUAGAGAAUAAGGGAAUAUAAUUCAAGUAUUGGAAAUCAGGCGCCCACCUUGAGAACAAUGGAACAUAAUUCGAGUUUUGGCAGUUAGGCACCCACCUGGAGAACAAGGGAGCACAAUUCGAGUUUUGGAAGUCAGGAACCCACCUGGAGAACGAGGGAAUAUAAUUCGAGUUUUGGUAAUCAGGCACCCACCUGGAGAACAAGGGAAUACAAUUCAAGUUUUGGUAAUCAGGCACCCACCUGGAGAGCGAAGGAAUACAAUUCAAGUCUUGGUAAUCAAGCACCCACCUAUAAAACAAGGGAAUAAAAUUCAAGUUUUGGUAAUCAAGCACCCACCUGGAGAACAAGGGAAUACAAUUCAUGUUUUGGUAAUCAAGCACCCACCUGGAGAACAAGAGAAUACAAUUCAAGUUUUGAAAAUCAGGCACCUACCUGUAGAAUAAGGGAAUACAGUUCAACAUUUGGAAAUCAGAAACCCAGCUGGAGAACAAAGGAAUAUAGUUCAAGUUUUGGUAAUCAGACACCCACCUGGAGAACAAGGGAAUACAGUUUAAGUUUUGGUAAUCAGGCACCCAACAGGAGAACAAUGGAAUAUAGUUCAAGUUUUUGCAAUCAGGCGCCCACCUGGAGAACAAGGGAAUACAGUUCGAGUUUUUGGCAAUCAGGCGCCCACCUAGAGAACAAGGGAGGACAGUUCCAGUUUUUGGCGAUCAGGCGCCCACCUGGAGAACAAGGGAACACAAUUUGAGUUUUUGGCAAUCAGGCAUCAACCUGGAGAAUGAAGGAAUACAGUUCGAGUUUUUGGCAAUCAGGUGACUACCUGGAGAACAAGGGAAUACAAUUCAAGUUUUUGGCAAUCAGACGCGCACCUACAAAACAAGGGAAUACAGUUCAACUCUUUGGCAAUUAGGCGCCCACCUGGAGAACAAGGGAAUAUAGUUCAAGUUUUUGGCAAUCAGACGUCACCUGGAGAUGAGGGAAUAUAAUUCAAGUUUGGUAAUCAGGAACUCACCUAGAAAACAAGGGAAUACAAUUUAAGUUUGGUAAUCAGGCACACACCUGUAGAACAAGGGAACACAAUUCGAGUUUCGGCAGUCAGGCACCCACCAGGAAAACAAGGAAAUAUAAUUUGAGUUUUGGUAAUUAGGCACCCACCUGGAUAACGAGGGAAUGUAAUUCAUGUUUGGUAAUCAGGAACCCACCUGGAGAACGAGGGAAUAUAAUUCGAGUUUUGGUAAUCAGGUACUCGCCUGGAGAACGAGGGAAUAUAAUUCAAGUUUAAUAAUCAGGCAGCCACCUGGAGAACAGGGAAUACAAUUCAAGUUUGGUAAUCAGGCACCCACCUGGAGAACAAGGGAAUACAAUUCAAGUUUUAGUAAUCAGGCACCCACCUGGAGAACAAGAGAAUACAAUUCAAGUUUUAGUAAUCAAGAACCAACCUGGAGAAUAAGGGAAUACAAUUCGAGUUUUGGGAAUCAGGCGCCCACUUGGAGAAAAAGGGAAUACACUUCAAGUUUUUAGCAAUCAGGCAUGCACCUGGAUAACAACGAAAUACAGUUCAAUUUUUUUCAAUCAGGCACCAGGAGAACAGGGGAAUACAAUUCGAGUUUUUGGCAAUCAGGCGCCCACCUGGAGAACAAGGGAAUAGACCUCAAGUUUUGGCAAUCAGGUUCCCACAUGGAGAACAAGGGAAUAUGGUUUAAGUUUUUUGCAAUCAGGCGCCCACCUGGAGAACAAGGGAAUAUAGUUCAAGUUUUUGGCAAUCAGGCGCCUGCAUGGAGAACAAGGAAAUACAAUUAAAGUUUUUGGCAAUCAGGUGCUCGCCUGGAGAACAAGGGAAUGCAAUUCAAGUUUUGGCAAUCAGGCGCCCACUUGGAGAACAAGGGACACUGUUCAAGUUUUUGGCAAUUAGGUGCCCACCUAGAGUAUAAGGGAAUACAGUUCAAGGUUUGGCAAUCAGGUGCCCACCUGGAGAACAAGAGAAUACAGUUCAAGUUUUUGGCAAUCAGACGUCCACUUUGAGAACAAGGAAUACAGUUCAAGUUUUUGGAAAUUCACGCGCCCACCUGGAUAACAAGGGAAUAUAGUUCAAGUUUUAGCAAUCAAGCGCCCACCUAGAGAAAAAGGGAAUACAGUUUAACUUUUUGGCAAUCAGGCGCCCACGUGGAUAACAAUGGAAUACAGUUCAGUUUUUUGGCAAUCAGGUUCCAACCUGGAGAACAAAGGAACACAGUUCGAGUUUUUGGUAAUCAGGCGCCCACAUGGAGAACAAAAGAAUACAGUUUAAGUUUUUGGCAAUCAAGCGCCCACCUGGAGAACAAGGGAACGUAGCUCAUGUUUUUGGCAAUCUGGAACCCGCCUGGAGAACAAGGGAAUACAGUUCAAAUGUUGUCAAUUAGGCGCCACAUGGAGAAUAAGGGAAUUCACUUCAUAUACAAUUCAAGUUAGCAACAAAAGAAGCUCGUGGCAAGAAUGUGAGUCAACAGUCCGAAGUGAUCAACAAAAGUUAGUCACAACAAGAAAAAGGAGAAAAAGGCAAAAAGUUAAUCCAAAUACAGAAGUUGAUGAAAGAUGUGGGUUGCUCAAGACAUAGCCGAAGUCACAAGCAUGGUGCGUCCGGUCCUGAUCCGAAAAGCUGAAGAAUGAUGAACUAGUACCUGCAACUAGCAAGUAUCAAGGUUCAAAUCUAAAGUUUGCAUGAAGAACCACUCAAGACUCAAGAUCAAGCUUCAGAAGACUCAUAGAUAGGAAUCUUAUAACUCGUAGUUCAUAGGCUUAGUUAGUCUUUUUUAUUUUUUUAUUUUUGAUGUAAUAACAGGACCGCAGACUGGAACCUCGGCGGAACAGCACCUCGACUGGCUCUCCACCUCAGUAUACUCCAUCCUCUCACUCAACUCUGAACUACACGUGGCCCGAUUCCUUUAUUGCCAAGGAUAUGUAGGCAGCUCAGACACCAGAGCUCAGUCACAUUCCCUUUUCUCUUAGUAUUAGUUUCUCUAAAUAAGGGUCAAGUCAAAAACUUGUAUAGUAGUUCUUAGUCUGAAAACAUUCCGUGUUUCCAGUCAAAGAGGAGCAGCUGCAGACAUGUGAUUUUUGACCCUCUUAGGCCUACUAUAGCUAUUUCAACUCAUUUUGACUCUUUACUUUAUUUUAUUACAAGAAAAAUAAAAAUUACAAAAUAUUUUAGUUGAUGUAUUUUUCAUAAAUUUAAAAAAAUAAACAAAAAUAGUACCUUAUUUUUAUAUUUAUAUAAUUUCGAAAAUACAAAAAUAGUUUCAUAUUUAGUUUAAUUAAUUAGGAAGAUCUUUGGUGUUGUGUAGUAUUUCUAUCUUAUUUUAAAAGGCAUUGUGUAGUCUAGGGAUCCUCUAAACUCUUAUUUGGAAUAAAAAUAAAUAAAAAGAUCCUAAGGACCUAAUACACAAAAAACCUAGGGACUAAUGAGCGAAAAACACAAAAUAUAUUCCUACACCCUACACCUAUAAAAGCCAAGACUAUCAGCUGCAGUAGAAAAAAAUGUCCCCCCCCCCCCCCCCCCCNNNNNNNNNNNNNNNNNNNNNNNNNNNNNNNNNNNNNNNNNNNNNNNNNNNNNNNNNNNNNNNNNNNNNNNNNNNNNNNNNNNNNNNNNNNNNNNNNNNNNNNNNNNNNNNNNNNNNNNNNNNNNNNNNNNNNNNNNNNNNNNNNNNNNNNNNNNNNNNNNNNNNNNNNNNNNNNNNNNNNNNNNNNNNNNNAGAUGAUAGGCUUAGCUAGUCUUUUUCAUGUUUUGAUUUUUGAUGUAAUAACAGGACUGUAGACUGAAAACUCGGCGGUACAGCACCUCGACCG